rnacentral:rRNA from 1 species
UCCCUACGGGAGGCAGCAGUGAGGAAUAUUGGUCAAUGGGCGGAAGCCUGAACCAGCCAAGUCGCGUGAGGGAAUAAGGCCCUACGGGUCGUAAACCUCUUUUGCCGGGGAGCAAGGGCGGGGACGUGUCCCGGCCCGGAGAGUACCCGGAGAAAGAGCAUCGGCUAACUCCGUGCCAGCAGCCGCGGUAAUACGGAGGAUGCGAGCGUUAUCCGGAUUUAUUGGGUUUAAAGGGUGCGCAGGCGGCACGGCAAGCCGGCGGUCAAAUCGCGGGGCUCAACCCCGCCCAGCCGUCGGAACUGCCG